GACGAACGCUGGCGGCGUGCUUAACACAUGCAAGUCGAACGGAAAGGCCCUGCUUUUGUGGGGUGCUCGAGUGGCGAACGGGUGAGUAACACGUGAGUAACCUGCCCUUGACUUUGGGAUAACUUCAGGAAACUGGGGCUAAUACCGGAUAGGAGCUCCUGCUGCAUGGUGGGGGUUGGAAAGUUUCGGUGGUUGGGGAUGGACUCGCGGCUUAUCAGCUUGUUGGUGGGGUAGUGGCUGACCAAGGCUUUGACGGGUAGCCGGCCUGAGAGGGUGACCGGCCACAUUGGGACGGAGAGAGGGCCCAGACUGCUACGGGAGGCAGCAGGGGGGAAUAUUGCACAAUGGGCGGAAGCCUGAUGCAGCAACCCCGGGUGCGGGAUGACGGCCGUCGGGUUGUAAGCCGCUUUCGCCUGUGACGAAGCGUGAGUGACGGUAAGGGGAAAAGAAGCACCGGCUAACUACGUG
rnacentral:rRNA from 1 species